GACCGAUAGUGAACCAGUACCGUGAGGGAAAGGUGAAAAGCACCCCGGAAGGGGAGUGAAAUAGAACCUGAAACCGUGUGCUUACAAGUAGUCAGAGCCCGUUAAUGGGUGAUGGCGUGCCUUUUGUAGAAUGAACCGGCGAGUUACGAUUUGAUGCAAGGUUAAGCAGUAAAUGUGGAGCCGUAGCGAAAGCGAGUCUGAAUAGGGCGUUUAGUAUUUGGUCGUAGACCCGAAACCAGGUGAUCUACCCUUGGUCAGGUUGAAGUUCAGGUAACACUGAAUGGAGGACCGAACCGACUUACGUUGAAAAGUGAGCGGAUGAACUGAGGGUAGCGGAGAAAUUCCAAUCGAACCUGGAGAUAGCUGGUUCUCUCCGAAAUAGCUUUAGGGCUAGCCUCAAGUGAUGAUUAUUGGAGGUAGAGCACUGUUUGGACGAGGGGCCCCUCUCGGGUUACCGAAUUCAGACAAACUCCGAAUGCCAAUUAAUUUAACUUGGGAGUCAGAACAUGGGUGAUAAGGUCCGUGUUCGAAAGGGAAACAGCCCAGACCACCAGCUAAGGUCCCAAAAUAUAUGUUAAGUGGAAAAGGAUGUGGCGUUGCCCAGACAACUAGGAUGUUGGCUUAGAAGCAGCCAUCAUUUAAAGAGUGCGUAAUAGCUCACUAGUCGAGUGACACUGCGCCGAAAAUGUACCGGGGCUAAACAUAUUACCGAAGCUGUGGAUUGUCCUUUGGACAAUGGUAGGAGAGCGUUCUAAGGGCGUUGAAGCAUGAUCGUAAGGACAUGUGGAGCGCUUAGAAGUGAGAAUGCCGGUGUGAGUAGCGAAAGACGGGUGAGAAUCCCGUCCACCGAUUGACUAAGGUUUCCAGAGGAAGGCUCGUCCGCUCUGGGUUAGUCGGGUCCUAA
rnacentral:rRNA from 1 species